GUGAACGCUGGCCGGCGUGCCUAAUACAUGCAAGUCGAACGCGAAAGUCCUUCGGGAUGAGUAAAGUGGCGCACGGGUGAGUAAUGCAUAAGAACAUGCCCUUAGAUGGGGAAUAACGUUUGGAAACGAACGCUAAUACCGCAUAAUCUCGCGAGAGUAAAGGUGGCGCCGCAAGGGCUACCGUCUAAGGAUUGGCUUUAUGUCCCAUUAGCUAGUUGGCGGGGGGUAAUGGCCCACCAAGGCAACGAUGGGUAUGUGGUCUGAGAGGAUGAUCACACACUGGAACUGAGACACGGUCCAGACUCCUACGGGAGGCAGCAGUAGGGAAUAUUGCACAAUGGGGGAAAACCUGAUGCAGCAACGCCGCGUGAGUGAAGAAGGCCCUUGGGUUGUAAAGCUCUUUAGCGUGGGAAGAGGGUUGAUACGGUGAAUAAUCGUGUCAGCUGACGGUACCACGAGAAUAAGCACCGGCUAAUUUCGUGCCAGCAGCCGCGGUAAUACGAAAGGUGCAAGCGUUACUCGGAAUCACUGGGCGUAAAAGCGCACGUAGGCGGACUCGUAGGUCAAUUGUGAAAUACCUGGCUCAACCCGGGAACUGCAGUUGAAACCGCUUGUCUUGAAUACCUGAGAGGGUGGGGGAAUACCUGGUGGAGAAGUGAAAUUCGUAGAGAUCAGGUGGAACACCGGAGGCGAAGGCGCCUGCCUGGCAGUGUAUUGACGCUGAGGUGCGAAAGUGCGGGGAGCAAACAGGGUUAGAUACCCUGGUAGUCCGCACCGUAAACGAUGGAUACUAGGCGUUCGGAGAGUUAACCCUCUGAGUGCCAAAGUUCACACAUUAAGUAUCCCGCCUGGGAAGUACGGUCGCAAGACUAAAACUCAAAGGAAUUGACGGGGGCCCGCACAAGCGGUGGAGUAUGUGGUUUAAUUCGAAGCACGCGCAGAACCUUACCUGGCCUUGACAUCGCGAGACCGACCUGCAGAGAUGCAGUUUUCCCUUCGGGGACUCGUAGACGGGUGCUGCAUGGCUGUCGUCAGCUCGUGUUGUGAAAUGUUCGGUUAAGUCCGGCAACGAGCGCAACCCCUGUCCUUAGUUGCCACCAUUAAGUUGGGAACUCUAGGGAGACCGCCGGUGUUAAACCGGAGGAAGGCGGGGAUGACGUCAAGUCCUCAUGGCCCUUACGGCCAGGCUACACACGUACUACAAUGGUAGAAACAGACGGCUGCAAGACCGCAAGGUGGAGCUAAUCCGUAAAACACUAUCUCAGUCCGGAUUGGAGUCUGCAACUCGACUUCAUGAAGUUGGAAUCGCUAGUAAUCGCAGAUCAGCACGCUGCGGUGAAUACGUUCCCGGGCCUUGUACACACCGCCCGUCACCCACGAAAGUGGUCUUAACCGGAAGUGAGUGAGCCAACCGCAAGGACGCAGCUCACCAAGGUUGAGGCCGUGAUUGGGGGU
rnacentral:rRNA from 1 species